AGCAGAGAGAAAGAGAGUGAGCAGGAGGGAAGCAGGAGCUUCAGCUGGAGAAGUGACCAGGCCAGAUCAUCCAGGGCUGUGUAGCUAACAGCAAGGACUUGGGGUUUAUUCUAAGUGAGAUGGGACCUGAUGGAGGGGAGUUUCGACGGACUUUCGUUUUAUGGAGGAUGCAUUGCUCAAACAAAAGAGGCAAAAGGUAAAACUGCUAAUACUCAACUCGUGCUUCCCGAGAAUGUUGAUAACAUGGAAUCAAUAUAAUAUGUCCACGUCCUAUGGGUUUUUAUUUUAAGGAAAAGUAUGAGAUAAUUAUAAUGGUCAUGUUUAAAUUGAAGAAGAAGAUCCAAUCUUUGUGACUCCUUCAACUUUCAUCCUUCCCCCUUUAUUAGGUAACAGCAGUUUCCUUGUUUGGGGGAAUAUCUUCUUCCUC
rnacentral:lncRNA from 1 species